rnacentral:rRNA from 1 species
UACGUAGGGGGCUAGCGUUGUCCGGAAUCAUUGGGCGUAAAGAGCGUGUAGGCGGUCCGGUAAGUCCGCUGUGAAAGUCGGGGGCUCAACCCUCGAAUGCCGGUGGAUACUGCCGGGCUAGAGUCCGGAAGAGGCGAGUGGAAUUCCUGGUGUAGCGGGUGGAAUGCGCAGAUAUCAGGAGGAACACCGAUGGCGAAGGCAGCUCGCUGGGACGGUACUGACGCUGAGGAGCGAAAGCGUGGGGAGCAAACAGG